rnacentral:rRNA from 1 species
UACGUAGGGUGCGAGCGUUGUCCGGAAUUAUUGGGCGUAAAGAGCUCGUAGGCGGCUUGUCGCGUCGGAUGUGAAAGCCCGGGACUCAACUCCGGGCCUGCAUUCGAUACGGGCAGACUAGAGUUCGGUAGGGGAGACUGGAAUUCCUGGUGUAGCGGUGAAAUGCGCAGAUAUCAGGAGGAACACCGGUGGCGAAGGCGGGUCUCUGGGCCGAUACUGACGCUGAGGAGCGAAAGCGUGGGGAGCAAACAGG